rnacentral:sRNA from 1 species
AGUUUACUUCCUGCGUCCCCGGACGCCGUAGGUGGAAAGGCGAACCCUGAGUGGAGGACGUUCCCACUGCCUAAAGAAUGAUUGACUGUAACUGCACUUUUGUGAGUUUAUAAAUAUACCACGGAGGGUAACGAAGCUACAGAAGAAUGGAAGAAGACAGCCUGGAAGACUCAAACCUUCCUCCGCAAGUUUGGCAUUCCGAGAUGACGGUGUCAGUGACAGGCGAACCACCGAGUGCCGUAGAAGAAGAAGGAACACCUAAAGAGACGGACGUAGAAAUCAUCCCAGAAAUCCCAGAAAUCCUAGAGCCACUGUCCCUUCCAGAUGUGCUGAGGAUCUCGGCAGUUCUGGAGGACACCACAGACCAGCUCUCUAUUCUGAACUACAUCAUGCCUGUUCAGUACGAAGGGAGACAGAGCGUCUGCGUGGUAUAUACCCACUCACCAUGACAGAGAAAUGAAUCUAGAAGGAACGAAUCUAGACAAACUUCCAAUGGCCUCAACAAUCACAAAAAUACCCAGUCCAUUAAUAACUGAGGAAGGACCCAACUUGCCAGAAA